GAUGAACGCUAGCUACAUGCUUAACACAUGCAAGUCGAGGGGCAGCAUGGCCUAGCAAUAGGUUGAUUGCGACCGGCGCACGGGUGAGUAACACGUAUCCAACCUGCCGAUUAUUCCGGGAUAGCCUUUCGAAAGAAAGAUUAAUACUGGAUAGCAUAACGAAAAGGCAUCUUCUUGUUAUUAAAGAAUUUCGAUAAUCGAUUGGGAUGCGUUCCAUUAGUUUGUUGGCGGUGUCUCGGCCCACCAAGGCCUCGAUGGAUAAGGGUUCUGAGAGGAAGGUCCACUACAUUGGAACUGAGACCCGGUCCACACUCGUACGCGAGGCAGCAGUGAGGAAUAUUGGGCAAUGGACGAGAGUCUGAACCAGCCAAGUAGCGUGAAGGAUGACUGCCCUAUGGGUUGUAAACUUCUUUUAUAUGGGAAUAAAGUGGGCAACGUGUGGCUUUUUGUAUGUACCAUACGAAUAAGGAUCGGCUAACUCCGUG
rnacentral:rRNA from 1 species